UGGGGAAUUUUGCACAAUGGGGGGAACCUUGAUGCAGCGACGCCGCGUGAGGGAUGGAGGCCUUCGGGUUGUGAACCUCUUUCGCUCGUGUGCAAGCCGCUAUUUGGGUAGUGGUGAGUGUAGCGGGUAAAGAAGCGCCGGCUAACUACGUGCCAGCAGCCGUGGUAAUACGUAGGGCGCGAGCGUUGUCCGGAUUUAUUGGGCGUAAAGGGCUUGUAGGCGGUUUGUCGCGCCUGUCGUGUAAUCCUCUGGCUUAACUGGGGGUGUGCGGUGGGUACGGGCAAGCUUGAGUGCGGUAGGGGAGAUUGGAAUUCCUGGUGUAGCGGUGGAAUGCGCAGAUAUCAGGAGGAACACCGGUGGCGAAGGCGGGUCUCUGGGCCGUUACUGACGCUGAGGAGCGAAAGCGUGGGGAGCGAACAGG
rnacentral:rRNA from 1 species